AUUGAACGCUGGCGGCAGGCCUAACACAUGCAAGUCGAACGCGUGGCGGACGGGUGUGUAAUGUCUGGGAAACUGCCUUAUGGAGGGGGAUAAAUACUGGAAACGGUAGCUAAUACCGCAUACCCUCAGAUGUGCCCAUAUGGGAUUGUAGUGUUGGUGGGGUAACGGCUCACCAAGGCGACGAUCCCUAGCUGGUCUGAGAGGAGGACCGGCCACAUUGGAACUGAGACAGGGACCAGAGUCCUACGGUAGGCAGCAGUGGGGAAUAUUGCACAAGGGGCGAAAGCCUGAUGAAGCCAUGCCGCGUGUAGGAAGAAGGCCUUAGGGUUGUAAAGUACUUUCAGCGGGGAUGCGUUACCCGCAGAAGAAGCACCGGCUAACUCCGUGCCAGCAGCCGCGGUAAUAC
rnacentral:rRNA from 1 species